rnacentral:rRNA from 1 species
CGGACGGGUGAGUAACGCGUGGGUAACCUGCCUCAUACAGGGGGAUAACGAUUGGAAACGAUUGCUAAUACCGCAUAAGCGCACAGUACCACAUGGUACAGUGUGAAAAACUCUGGUGGUAUGAGAUGGACCCGCGUCUGAUUAGUUAGUUGGUGAGGUAACGGCCCACCAAGGCAACGAUCAGUAGCCGACCUGAGAGGGUGACCGGCCACAUUGGGACUGAGACACGGCCCAA